rnacentral:rRNA from 1 species
UACGGGGGGGGCAAGCGUUGUUCGGAAUUACUGGGCGUAAAGGGCUCGUGGGCGGCCAACUAAGUCAGACGUGAAAUCCCUCGGCUUAACCGGGGAACUGCAUCUGAUACUGGAUGGCUUGAGUUCGGGAGAGGGAUGCGGAAUUCCAGGUGUAGCGGUGAAAUGCGUAGAUAUCUGGAGGAACACCGGUGGCGAAGGCGGCAUCCUGGACCGACACUGACGCUGAGGAGCGAAAGCCAGGGGAGCAAACGGG